GACGAACGCUGGCGGCGUGCUUAACACAUGCAAGUCGAACGGAAAGGCCCUGCUUUUGUGGGGUGCUCGAGUGGCGAACGGGUGAGUAACACGUGGGUAACCUGCCCUUGACUUUGGGAUAACUUCAGGAAACUGGGGCUAAUACCGGAUAGGAGCUCCUGCUGCAUGGUGGGGGUUGGAAAGUUUCGGCGGUUGGGGAUGGACUCGCGGCUUAUCAGCUUGUUGAUGGGGUAGUGGCUUACCAAGGCUUUGACGGGUAGCCGGCCUGAGAGGGUGACCGGCCACAUUGGGACUGAGAUACGGCCCAGACUCCUACGGGAGGCAGCAAUGGGGAAUAUUGCACAAUGGGCGGAAGCCUGAUGCAGCAACGCCGCGUGCGGGAUGACGGCCUUCGGGUUGUAAACCGCUUUCGCCUGUGACGAAGCGUGAGUGACGGUAAUGGGUAAAGAAGCACCGGCUAACUACGU
rnacentral:rRNA from 1 species